rnacentral:lncRNA from 1 species
AGGAAUAUCCACAGACGGCUAUUGAGUAAAAUAGAAGAUCAAAGGAUUAAAAGUUACCGUUAUUGUGACUAUACAUGAUCAAUUGAGCAAAUCACUCAUGCUCAUACCCUUUUGCAUCAGUUAAACCCCACAACCCAGUACAAUUAUAAAUUUAACAUUUUUUACUAUUUGGCAUUCAAUUAAAGGUUCUAAUUCAAACAGAUCUGAAACAAACAAAUUGCAACUCAUCCACAAAAUACCAAUUAAUGCAUGAACUGUAAGCACAACACAAUGAAAAAAAUUUCUAAAAUAAAAAAGAGGCAAGGAUGGACCUCAAGGACAAUGUGUUGUAUUUUCUGAAACAAGGCUGCUUCCUACGGACCAAAACCAAAAUCCAAUAUAUUGCAGAAUGAACAACAAUUGACACGAUACUCGAACCACCAAACCAGAACUUGAACGAGAUACGAGCUGACCAUCAAGCUCGAAACCAAAGAGAUCUCCAUCAAACAUCAGUCAGAUUCCAUGGUUUCGACAUCAAAAAUCAUAAGAAGGAACCAAAAUUUAAACAAUAACAACUGAUGAAGUGAAGUCGCCGCCCAAAUAUAUGGAUGAAGCGAUGAGAGCGAGGGUGUACAGCAGUUCUCGGCAAGUUCGGGUUGUCGCUGGGUGUUUGGAGAAGGGCUAGUAGCUCUAUUGAUUUAAAAUCGUUGUGUUACUUUUCAACUCCAAUUAUUGCUUCAUCUCUCUUUUUACAGCGGCUGGAUUUUCAGGUUGAGUUUUGGAAUCACUCUAUGAUCUCCUUUUUUGUUGCUCCAAGUCGGGGGUAGGCGUUUUGUUGAAGAAGAAGAGCGAUGGUUUUUUUUCCGCGAGUCUGUACCAGGCGUCCUCUCUGGUGAGAAGCUGCGCAGCUGAAGCUUUUCAACGUUCUUCCCCCUUGCUUUGUAUUAUUUUUUUGUCUUAUAUAGUGUAGGUUUUGUUUGUUUGUUUUUUUAAUUAGCGCAAGAGUAAGGGAAUGAGCUUGGUUAUUUGGGUUUGGGUAGGAAGACU